rnacentral:tRNA from 1 species
GCCUUCGUCGUGUAACGGUAGCACACUCGGCUCGAUAUCCGAGAGGUUCAGGUCCGAGUCCCAGCGAGGGCA